ACGUACUUCUUUAUAAUUCCAUACCUUAUUCCCAUCUGUAUGGAAUGUAAUGAAGUAUGUAU
rnacentral:pre_miRNA from 1 species